CCAUAACCACUGAUCGUAGCAAGCUUUGAUACCACUUGUAAGGAUUUGGAUAAUCAAAUUCCUUACUAGGCUUAAGUUCAGCUCAAUUUAUGGAGAUUUGUGACUAAGAAGAGAUUUAGAGAGAGAGAGAAAGAGUUCAAAAGAAGUAGAGAGAAGUUCAGAAGAAAGAACAAUUCAUUUCAUUACCCAACUCAUUACAGAUAGCUUCUCUUAUACACAAUAAAAU
rnacentral:lncRNA from 1 species